UGACGCUAAACGUGUUUUUGUGUGACGUUAAAUAACUGCACUUGAUUAUUUGAAAUUCAUUCAGGUGAACUGAAACAUAUAUAACUUGUGAUCUUGGUAACUAGUUCAGACGAAAAAGGCACUUACCCCUCGCGAAGUUAUCGCUUAUAAUGUAAACAACGUUUUUAAAGUUUGUUGAGUGUAACAAUUGCUUUGUUGUUGAAAUUGAAAUACUCAUUGGGGUUAAACGAGCGUAGAGUAACAAUACGAUGUUGAAAUUUACUGUCAAAGUUGGAUAGAUUUGCGCUGAUUAACAAUGGAACAAACUGCUAUUGAUUGACAUGGAGGAUUUCUAAAUUAAGGAGUUGAUAUUCCGCAUCAGGUGAACAGAUACUUCAUGAAUUAUAUGAAUCACCAGGGAAAGGACCCAACUACUUGCACAGAUGCAUCCUGGCGGGUGAAAGAAGGGAUGAUCACUUUGGCAACAGAUUGUUCAACUGCUUAAAUGUUGAUGUGGACUCAGUCAAAGAAUUUACUGUAACUGUGUAUGUCUCUUCACUAUGUGGACAUAAAGUGCUACAGCUGGUUGGAGAUUAAGAUCACAAUGUACUGUUUUAAUGGAGAACAUCUGUGAAUAUUUAUUCUAACAAUGGAAAUUCAAACCUGAAUUAUUAUAAUUAGAAAACAUUUUCAUGUACAUGCUGGAAUUUUAU